rnacentral:rRNA from 1 species
ACUCAAAUGAAUUGACGGGGAGGCGCACAAGCAGUGGAGCAUGUGGUUUAAUUCGAUACGAAGCGAAAAACCUCACCAGGGUUUGACAUGUACUUGCAAAUCCCGUGAAAGCGGGACUCCUUCGAGGGUAGUACACAGAUGUUGCAUGGCUGUCGUAAGUUCGUGGCGUGAGCUGUCCUCUUUAGUGAGCUAACGAACGAAACCCGCACCGUAUGUUAAAUAUUCAUGCGGAACUGCCCCCUUUUGGGGGAGGAAGGCGCGGAUGACGUCAAGUCCGCACGACUCUUACACCCUGGGCUACACACAUCCUACAAUGGCGAACAACAACGAGUUGCAAGCGGGUGACCGCAAGCUAAUCUCUGAAAUUUCGCCUCAGUUCAGAUCGGAGUCUGCAAUUCGACUCCGUGAAGCCGGAAUUGCUAGUAAUCGCGAAUCAGAAGGUCGCGGUGAAUACGUUCUCGCCUCUUGUACACACCGCCCGU